CUAUGCUCAUGCUGGGCCACGUAGCAGCAUUGGCCGAGGCCACGGAGGAGGAGGUGGGCGUCUUUUUAAUGAUUUGAAGAAGGCCAUAAAAAAAAAAAAAAAAAUCUGAUAACCAAUUUAAUGCUAGGUAGGGGUACAGCGAGCAACUGGGUACUAUCAGUGUCACCGGUUCUCUAAUCGGUGUCUCUGAUAGUGUGGGUGAUGGUGGGCUCAUUAUCGCAUAACACAUACAAGUUGUGGGGCAUUGGCAAUGGGCAAUGGGCAAUGGGCAAUGGGCAUUGGAAUGUGUGGGUGUUGGUUUCAUUUCUGUUGGGAGGAAGGAAGAAGCAAACUCAGCAGAGCAGGUAAUCGAUUUGUUUCAUUGUGGUUCUGUGUGGUUUAUGUCUUGUUUAAA
rnacentral:lncRNA from 1 species